rnacentral:rRNA from 1 species
GGGGUCGGACCUACUCCAACCCCUGUGACAUACCACUUGUUGCCUCGGCGGAUCAGCCCGCUCCCGGUAAAACGGGACGGCCCGCCAGAGGACCCCUAAACUCUGUUUCUAUAUGUAACUUCUGAGUAAAACCAUAAAUAAAUCAAAACUUUCAACAACGGAUCUCUUGGUUCUGGCAUCGAUGAAGAACGCAGCAAAAUGCGAUAAGUAAUGUGAAUUGCAGAAUUCAGUGAAUCAUCGAAUCUUUGAACGCACAUUGCGCCCGCCAGUAUUCUGGCGGGCAUGCCUGUUCGAGCGUCAUUUCAACCCUCAAGCACAGCUUGGUGUUGGGACUCGCGUUAAUUCGCGUUCCCCAAAUUGAUUGGCGGUCACGUCGAGCUUCCAUAGCGUAGUAGUAAAACCCUCGUUACUGGUAAUCGUCGCGGCCACGCCGUUAAACCCCAACUUCUGAAUGUUGACCUCGGAUCAGGUAGGAAUACCCGCUGAACUUAAGCAUAUCAAUAAGCGGAGGAACUAU